rnacentral:rRNA from 1 species
UACGAAGGGGGCUAGCGUUGUUCGGAAUCACUGGGCGUAAAGCGCACGUAGGCGGCUUUCUAAGUCAGGGGUGAAAUCCUGGAGCUCAACUCCAGAACUGCCUUUGAUACUGGAAAGCUUGAGUUCGGGAGAGGUGAGUGGAACUGCGAGUGUAGAGGUGAAAUUCGUAGAUAUUCGGAGGAACACCAGUGGCGAAGGCGACUUCCUGGCCUGUUCUUGACGCUGAGGCGCGAAAGCUAGGGUAGCAAACGGG